UACGGAGGGAGCUAGCGUUGUUCGGAAUUACUGGGCGUAAAGCGUGCGCAGGCGGUUUUGUAAUUUUGUCGUGAAAGCCCCGGGCUCAACCUGGGAAUUGCGAUGAAGACUGCAAGGCUUGAAUCUGGCAGAGGGGGGUAGAAUUCCACGUGUAGCAGUGAAAUGCGUAGAGAUGUGGAGGAACACCGAUGGCGAAGGCAGCCCCCUGGGUCAAGAUUGACGCUCAUGCACGAAAGCGUGGGGAGCAAACAGG
rnacentral:rRNA from 1 species